CCUGGUUGAUCCUGCCAGUAGUCAUAUGCUUGUCUCAAAGAUUAAGCCAUGCAUGUGUAAGCACACACUGUUUUAAAAGUGAAGCCGCGAAUGGCUCAUUACAACAGCCACAGUUUAUUAGAACUUACAUACAUGGAUAACUGUGGUAAUUCUAGAGCUAAUACAUGCUAAAAAUCCCGACUGUUUGGAAGGGAUGUAUUUAUUAGAUAAAAAAUCAAUGCUUUUCGGAGCUCUUUGAUGAUUCAUAAUAACUUUUCGAAUCGCAUGGCCUUGUGCUGGCGAUGGUUCAUUCAAAUUUCUGCCCUAUCAACUUUCGAUGGUAGGAUAGUGGCCUACCAUGGUUUCAACGGGUAACGGGGAAUAAGGGUUCGAUUCCGGAGAGGGAGCCUGAGAAACGGCUACCACAUCCAAGGAAGGCAGCAGGCGCGCAAAUUACCCACUCCCAGCUUGGGGAGGUAGUGACGAAAAAUAACGAGACGAUUCUCGUUUGAGAAACGUUAUCGAAAUGAGUACGCUUUACACACGCUAACGAGUAGCAAUUGGAGGGCAAGUCUGGUGCCAGCAGCCGCGGUAAUUCCAGCUCCAAUAGCGUAUAUUAAAGUUGUUGCAGUUAAAAAGCUCGUAGUUGAACCUUGGGCUUGGUUGGCCGGUCCGCCUUUUUGGCGAGUACUGGACCCAACCGAGCCUUUCCUUCUGGCUAACCUUUCGCCCUUGUGGUGUUUGGCGAACCAGGACUUUUACUUUGAAAAAAUUAGAGUGCUCAAAGCAGGUUGUGAUGCCUGAAUAAUGGUGCAUGGAAUAAUAGAAUACGAUCUCGGUUCUAUUUUGUUGGUUUUCGAACCGGAGAUAAUGAUUGAAAGGAACAGACGGGGGCAUUCGUAUUGCUGCGUUAGAGGUGAAAUUCUUGGAUCGCAGCAAGAUGAACAAUUGCGAAAGCAUUUGCCAAGAAUGUUUUCAUUAAUCAAGAACGAAAGUUAGAGGUUCGAAGGCGAUCAGAUACCGCCCUAGUUCUAACGGUAAACUAUGCCAACCAGCGAUUCGCCGAAGUUCAUUUAAGACUCGGCGAGCAGCUUCCGGGAAACCAAAGUGUUUCGGUUCCGGGGGAAGUAUGGUUGCAAAGCUGAAACUUAAAGGAAUUGACGGAAGGGCACCACCAGGAGUGGAGCCUGCGGCUUAAUUUGACCCAACACGGGAAAACUCACCCGGCCCGGACACUGAAAGGAUUGACAGAUUGACAGCUCUUUCUUGAUUCAGUGGGUAGUGGUGCAUGGCCGUUCUUAGUUGGUGGAGCGAUUUGUCUGGUUAAUUCCGAUAACGAACGAGACUCUACCCUAUUAAAUAGUGACAGUAUUGCAUAUUCUGUGCUGAUCACUUCUUAGAGGGACUGGCAAAUUGAAAGCUGCACGAAAAAGAGCAAUAACAGGUCUGUGAUGCCCUUCGAUGUCCGGGGCUGCACGCGCGCUACAAUGAAAGCGUCAACGUGAGUUACGUCCUUACCUGAAAAGGUUUGGCAAUCGAUUGAAACGUUUUCUUGAAUGGAAUAGGGAAUUGCAAUUGUUUCCCUUGAACGAGGAAUUCCCAGUAAGCGUGAGUCAUUAGCUCGCGUUGAUUACGUCCCUGCCCUUUGUACACACCGCCCGUCGCUACUACCGAUUGGAUGAUUUAGUGAGGUGUUUUGACUAGCGCCUGUAGUCGGAUGUAUAUUCGGCUUCGCGCCGGGAAAUUUCCCAAACCAAAUCAUCUAGAGGAAGUAAAAGUCGUAACAAGGUUUCCGUAGGUGAACCUGCGGAAG
rnacentral:rRNA from 1 species